CCUACGGGCGGCUGCAGUGGGGAAUAUUGGACAAUGGGAGGAACCCUGAUCCAGCCAUGCCGCGUGUGUGAAGAAGGCCCUCGGGUUGUAAAGCACUUUCAGUGAGGAAGAACGCCUGGUGGUUAAUACCCAUCAGGAAAGACAUCACUCACAGAAGAAGCACCGGCUAACUCCGUGCCAGCAGCCGCGGUAAUACGGAGGGUGCGAGCGUUAAUCGGAAUUACUGGGCGUAAAGCGCGCGUAGGUGGCUUGAUAAGCCGGUUGUGAAAGCCCCGGGCUCAACCUGGGAACGGCAUCCGGAACUGUCAAGCUAGAGUGCAGGAGAGGAAGGUAGAAUUCCCGGUGUAGCGGUGAAAUGCGUAGAGAUCGGGAGGAAUACCAGUGGCGAAGGCGGUCUUCUGGACUGACACUGACACUGAGGUGCGAAAGCGUGGGUAGCAAACAGGAUUAGAUACCCGAGUAGUC
rnacentral:rRNA from 1 species